rnacentral:rRNA from 1 species
CCUACGGGGGGCUGCAGUGGGGAAUCUUGCACAAUGGGCGCAAGCCUGAUGCAGCCAUGCCGCGUGUAUGAAGAAGGCCUUCGGGUUGUAAAGUACUUUCAGUCGUGAGGAAGGUGUUAAGGUUAAUAACCUUAGCAAUUGACGUUAGCGACAGAAGAAGCACCGGCUAACUCCGUGCCAGCAGCCGCGGUAAUACGGAGGGUGAGAGCGUUAACCGGAAUUACUGGGCGUAAAGGGAACGCAGGCGGUAGAUUGAGUUGGAAGUGAGAACCCCGGGCUUAACCUGGGAAUGGCAGUCAAGACUGGUUAGCUAGAGUCUUGUAGAGGGGGGUAGAGUUCAAUGUGUAGCGGUGAAAUGCGUAGAGAUGUGGAGGGAUACCGGUGGCGAAGGCGGCCACCUGGACAAAGACUGACGCUCAGGAGCGAAAGCGUGAGGAGCAAACAGGAUUAGAUACCCCGGUAGUC